GGAGGUAGUGACGUGAAAUAACGAUGCGGGACUCUUCCGAGGCCUCGCAAUCGGAAUGAGUUAACUUUAAAUCCUUUCGACGAGGAUCGAUUGGAGGGCAAGUCUGGUGCCAGCAGCCGCGGUAAUUCCAGCUCCAAUAGCGUAUAUUAAAGUUGCUGCGGUUAAAAAGCUCGUAGUUGAAUCUCACGAUUCAACAGGAGGUAAGCGCCGUGGUGGUAGUAGUAGUAAGCAGCAAUUACAGUAUUGCUACUACUACUACUAGAAUUCUCCUUCUCCUUCUUCUCGUUCUGCUGCUGCUGCAGCAUCAGCUGUUUCUACUGCGGUGGUAGUGGCAAAAAACGACUGACCGUGGCCGCUGCCGCUUCUACUACUUCUUUCAUCGUCGAUUCCCUAUUCGUAGCAUUGUUUCCUUUUACUACUGGUUCUCCUUCUUCUUUCCAACGAACGGAAAAGAGAGGAUGAAAAAGAAACUGCCACGGUGUAAUAAUCGUCCUUUUCGAUAACAAACAUUGUCCCGCCGGCCAGCGGCAUUAGUAUCCAGCAGCAGCAGUAGCGGCGGCGGCGGCGGCCACCACCUCUUAAGAAGUAGUAGAAUGUUUUCUUAUUAUAAUAAUACUACUAACAUCUUCCUCCUCCGAGGCGGCUGCUGCUGCUGCUGCUGCUGCUGCUGCUGCUGCUGCUGGCUCUCGCGCGCUCGCGUUCGGUCGGCAACUUCACUUUGACAAAAUUAGAGUGCUCAGAGCGGGCAAGAUCUGAAGCCCGAAUGGAGGUGCAUAGAAUGAUCUAAGAUGACCUCGCGAUCUAAACGUUUGUCGGUUUAUGGGGUCGCGAGGUAAUGAUUAAA
rnacentral:rRNA from 1 species